UACGUAGGGGGCGAGCGUUGUCCGGAUUUAUUGGGCGUAAAGAGCGUGUAGGCGGCCAGGUAGGUCUGCUGUGAAAACUCGAGGCUCAACCUCGAGACGUCGGCGGAAACCAUCUGGCUAGAGUCCGGAAGAGGAGAGUGGAAUUCCUGGUGUAGCGGUGAAAUGCGCGGAUAUCAGGAAGAACACCCGUGGCGAAGGCGGCUCUCUGGGACGGUACUGACGCUGAGACGCGAAAGCGUGGGGAGCGAACAGG
rnacentral:rRNA from 1 species